rnacentral:rRNA from 1 species
CCUGCGAAGGCAAGCGGAUCUCUUAAAGCCGUUCUCAGUUCGGACUGUAGGCUGCAACUCGCCUACACGAAGCUGGAAUCGCUAGUAAUCGCGGAUCAGCACGCCGCGGUGAAUACGUUCCCGGGCCUUGUACACACCGCCCGUCACACCAUGAGAGUCUGUAACACCCAAAGCCGGUGGGGAUAACCUUUAUAGGAGUCAGCCGUCUAAGGUAGGACAGAUGAAUUAGGGUGAAGUCGUAACAAGGUAUC